CCGAAGACAGGUGCGUGCAUGGCUGUCGUCAGCUCGUGUCGUGAGAUUGGUUUGGGUUAAGUCCCGCAACGAGCGCAACCCUAUCUCUAGUUGCCAGCGAUUCGGUCGGGGACUCUAGAGAUACUGCCCCGGUUAACGGGGAGGAAGUGGGAUGACGUCAAGUCCUCAUGGCCCUUAUGCCCAGGGCUACACACGUGCUACAAUGGGCGGUACAAAGGGUAGCGAUGCCGCGAGGCGAAGCCAAUCCCAAAAAGCCGUCCUCAGUUCGGAUUGCAGGCUGCAAUUCGCCUGCAUGAAGUCGGAAUCGCUAGUAAUCGCAGGUCAGCAUACUGCGGUGAAUACGUUCCCGGGCCUU
rnacentral:rRNA from 1 species